rnacentral:tRNA from 2 species
GGCGGUGUAGCUCAGAUGGUUAGAGCGCACGACUCAUAAUCGUGAGGUCCGGAGUUCGAUCCUCCGCAUCGCUA